GUGCCAGCCGCAGCGGUAAUACGUAGGGCGCAAGCGUUAUCCGGAAUUAUUGGGCGUAAAGAGCUCGUAGGCGGUCUGUCGCGUCUGCUGUGAAAACCCGAGGCUCAACCUCGGGCCUGCAGUGGGUACGGGCAGACUAGAGUGCGGUAGGGGAGAUUGGAAUUCCUGGUGUAGCGGUGGAAUGCGCAGAUAUCAGGAGGAACACCGAUGGCGAAGGCAGAUCUCUGGGCCGUAACUGACGCUGAGGAGCGAAAGGUGGGAGCAAACAGGCUUAGAUACCCUGGUAGUCCACCCGUAAACGUUGGAACUAGUUGUGGGACCAUUCCACGGUUUCCGUGACGCAGCUAACGCA
rnacentral:rRNA from 1 species